rnacentral:rRNA from 1 species
GACGAACGCUGGCGGCGUGCUUAACACAUGCAAGUCGAACGGAAAGACCCUGCUUUUGUUGGUUGCUCGAGUGGCGAACAGGUGUGUAACACGUGAGUAACCUGCCCUUAACUUUGGGAUAACUUCAGGAAAAUGGGGCGCAUACCGGGUAUGAGCUCCUGCUGCAUGGUGGGGGUUGGAAAGUUUCGGCGGUUGGGGAUGGACUCGCGGCUUAUCAGCUUGUUGGUGGGGUAGUGGCUUACCAAGGCUUUGAAGGGUAGCCGGCCUGAGCGGGGGACCGGCAACAUGGGGACUGAGAUACGGCCCAGAAUGCUACGGGAGGCAGCAGGGGAGAACAUGGCACAAUGGGCGGAAGCCUGAUGCAGCAAUGCCGCGUGCGGGAUGACGGCCUUCGGGGGGAAAACCGCUUUCUCCGGUGCCGAAGCGUGAGUGACGGUAAUUGGUAAAGAAGCACCGGCUAACUACGUG